GACGAACGCUGGCGGCGCGCCUAACACAUGCAAGUCGAACGAGCGAGAGAGAGCUUGCUUUCUCGAGCGAGUGGCGAACGGGUGAGUAACGCGUGAGGAACCUGCCUCAAAGAGGGGGACAACAGUUGGAAACGACUGCUAAUACCGCAUAAGCCCACAGGUCGGCAUCGACCAGAGGGAAAAGGAGCAAUCCGCUUUGAGAUGGCCUCGCGUCCGAUUAGCUAGUUGGUGAGGUAACGGCCCACCAAGGCAACGAUCGGUAGCCGGACUGAGAGGUUGAACGGCCACAUUGGGACUGAGACACGGCCCAGACUCCUACGGGAGGCAGCAGUGGGGAAUAUUGCACAAUGGGGGAAACCCUGAUGCAGCGACGCCGCGUGGAGGAAGAAGGUCUUCGGAUUGUAAACUCCUGUUGUUGAGGAAGAUAAUGACGGUACUCAACAAGGAAG
rnacentral:rRNA from 1 species